GAAAUGUAGACCCUAUAGAUUUUUAUGUCAGUUAAUGGUACAAAACUUUGGAACAUCUUAAUAGAGAAUGUGGUUAACCUGUAACUUUCAAACUUUUCACUAUAUGUCAAAAGCAAAAGCUGCAAGAGCAAGAAACUAAAAAUUUGGAAAAAAAAUUACCCAAAGUAUCAGAUUGAUGGUCUUGCCAAGGCAAUUUGUACUCAGUUGGCCUCUAAUGUAGUUGAUAUGAAGUGUAGAAGCAAUUGCAUAAGCUUUUCUGUCUACAGAAGGAAAAGCUUUCCUUGGAUGGUUACCUUGUCUUGGAAGUCACCAAGGUGUAUUGUAUUUGUACCUAAAACAUGCUCACUAUGUGAUCUCUGUGUCUGGCUCAUUUACUAACACCGACAUGACACUACGCUUCCAAAAAGACCAGGAUAUUGCCAUUAAAAAAUAAUGCUUCAAUGCUUUAUUUUUUAAAACAGUUCAGUAUUGUUCUUACUACACUUUGAACACCUAACGGUUUUUCUUUUUAUUAUUUACACUAGAACAGUCCAGUCCAGUCUGGAUGUGAUUUUUGAGACAUAAUCUGUUUUAAAUAUGCACCAUGUAUAUGUAAUCUUCUGCUCACUCAAAAUUAGGUUCAGAUCUGGACUUUUCACCUUGCUUUUUUUAAUGCAAAGGGUUUAUUGCAGCUUUUUCACAACAGGAUUUAAUUCUUAUUUGGAGAAAUUGUUCAGAUCAGACCAUUGUGAAAAAUAUUACAAAAUGUUUAGAAAAUAAAUUUAAGCAAAACUCAUUAUCAAGUGAGAAAGACUAAAAUUUUGAGCAUCUGUUUCAUAUAUCUGCAAACAUUUUCCAAGUUGUCAGCAUAAAUAAAAUGAAAUAAAAACUUAACAUUUCUAUUAAUGAUUAAUUUUAUAUAUUUUAAUCUGGUUGCAAUGAUCUUUUUAACCUUUUUAUUGCUCUAUUGCAGCGACGUCAAACUCCAGUCCUCAAGGGCAGGUGUACUGCAGCGUAUAGAUGUGCCUCUCCUGCGCCACACCUGAAUAAAAUAAUUAGUUCAUUAAGGCUCUGUAGAACUUAUCUACACAAGGAGGAGGUCAUUAAACCAUUUCAUUCCAGGGUUCUGUACAUGUGGCACAUCUAUACGCUGCAGGACAUGGAGGACUGGAGUUUGACACUUGUGCUCUUGGCACCUUUGCCAAUAAAGAUUGGUGAAUUGAAGUAGGCAUUUUACACAUCCACUAAAGAAAAUAGUUCCAAAGAACAUUUGAAUAAGGAGGACGACCGUAUUUAUUUAUUUUUGUUUGAGCACGUUUUUGAGUGUUACAUCGGUUUUACAUUUGUUAAACCGAUGUAACACUCAAAAUUAAUCUUGUGUUUCUUGGAAAACGUAAAAUUAACUGCGGAUGGAUAUGCGGUUUCACACUCCAACGUAUUCUCCUCAUCAGUCCGUUUGCGCGGAAUCUGCAGGUUGACUGUCCUACGAAACAAUCUACUUCAAGAGCAUCAACCUGUGAAGAUCGCCUUUGACGAUUUGAAAAAGGUUGCCAUGGUUACAGAAAUUGGAGGAGUGUCCAGCUGUGCGAGUCCUCAUGCCCCAUGAAUUGGCGGUCCAGUUCAGCCUUUUUGGACGACAUUGGAAACACAAGCUCCGUGACCCGCGUCUCUUUGAAGUUGUGUAUGGGACACUUAAAAGAAAUGGAUCCAUCUACAGAAUCACACAAAGAUAUGGAAAAGGCACUCUCAAAGUGGUUUACUGGAGCCUGUGACUGGUGGAAAUAGGAAAGUUAGAACA